GUUCAUCCACCACACCUUGUCUUCUUGGCCACUAUGCAAGCAAAUAGUGUACUGUAGAAAAGAUCGAGAAAGGGAUAGGGAAGAAGUUAGGUUCAAUGCUUCUUUAAACAUAUUCAAAUAACCCUAACUGCCUUAUUUGAUUUUGUAACAACGAUUCAUGCAGCGGCAUGAUUCUUUCAGUAAAUUUGACAUAUUGUUAAGCAAACAAUAGAGAGGUAAUUGUUUGGAUUAAUUUAACUACCAGAAAAAAAUCAUUUAGGUCAAAAUAUGCGCUGUUUGAAAGUCCCAAGAAAACAUGCAAAAAAUGGAAAGAAUCCGUCAAAAUUUGAAGUUUUAGCACAAAGGGCGAGUAGGAAGAUAAUCUUUACUAAAACCUUUAGUAUAGACGCGUAGAUAUAUAUUUUCGAACGACUAAAUGUUGAAAUACUGUCUCAUUGACUUCAUGUCUCAUUAUUUUACAAAGGUACUUUUAAAUUAGGUUGGCUGGCUAAAGACAUCCACAUAUGCCAUUUGGGUGUGCUUUAUACUUAACUUUUAUAAUUUGUCGCGUGCAAAAUUAAUUUUCUCGAUAAUUAUAUCUCCUGUAAACGUGGCAUUACUUAUUUGUAAGUUAUAAAGCACUUUAAGAGUUAAUUUUAACUCAAAUAAAACUUAUAAAAAGUUAAAGGAGCGCAAUCUGCGGAAGACAGUAUAAUAACUAGUUAACCCACUGA